rnacentral:rRNA from 1 species
GUGGGUAAUAUUGCACAAUGGGCGAAAGCCUGAUGCAGCGACGCCGCGUGAGCGAUGAAGUAUUUCGGUACGUAAAGCUCUAUCAGCAGGGAAGAUAAUGACGGUACCUGACUAAGAAGCACCGGCUAAAUACGUGCCAGCAGCCGCGGUAAUACGUAUGGUGCAAGCGUUAUCCGGAUUUACUGGGUGUAAAGGGAGCGUAGGCGGCGUGGUAAGUCAGAAGUGAAAGCCCGGGGCUCAACCCCGGGACUGCUUUUGAAACUAUCAUGCUAGAGUGUCGGAGAGGUAAGUGGAAUUCCUAGUGUAGCGGUGAAAUGCGUAGAUAUUAGGAGGAACACCAGUGGCGAAGGCGGCUUACUGGACGAUAACUGACGCUGAGGCUCGAAAGCGUGGGGAGCAAACAGGAUUAGAUACCCUUGUAGUCC